UGUUUUCUUGUAACUGUUGAGGAAUU
rnacentral:piRNA from 1 species